rnacentral:tRNA from 1 species
GCGGGUGUGGCGAAAUGGUAAACGCAGUGGUCUAGGACACCACCGGAUAAAAGCUGAGUAAGCUCCCUUGCGGGUUCGAAUCCCGCCACCCGCA